CCUACGGGCGGCAGCAGUGGGGAAUAUUGGGCAAUGGGCGCAAGCCUGACCCAGCAACGCCGCGUGAAGGAAGAAGGCUUUCGGGUUGUAAACUUCUUUUGUCAGGGAAGAGGAGAAGACGGUACCUGACGAAUAAGCCAUGGCUAACUACGUGCCAGCAGCCGCGGUAAUACGUAGGUGGCAAGCGUUGUCCGGAUUUACUGGGUGUAAAGGGCGUGUAGCCGGGUUGACAAGUCAGAUGUGAAAUCCUGCGGCUUAACCGCAGAACUGCAUUUGAAACUGUUGAUCUUGAGUACUGGAGAGGCAGACGGAAUUCCUAGUGUAGCGGUGAAAUGCGUAGAUAUUAGGAGGAACACCAGUGGCGAAGGCGGUCUGCUGGACAGCAACUGACGGUGAGGCGCGAAAGCGUGGGGAGCAAACAGGAUUACAUACCCCAGUAGUC
rnacentral:rRNA from 1 species